rnacentral:lncRNA from 1 species
AUGGUUUUGGCAAAGAACACAGAGUGCAUACCGCAUCCUUGCUGCCUCAAAGUCCCGGGGGAGUUGCAGCUAAAGGGGGCGCGAGGGUCUGAAGGUGGGGGGAAGGAAGCGGCGUCAGUCAACUUCCUCGGCUGCGGUGGCUGUGGCAGCAGCGGGGUGUGCACCGGGCUAUGCCAACCCUCCCCUGGGCCGGGAAGGGGCGGAGCUGGGCGUCGCCGCUCCGGUUGUCCCCUCCUCCCCGCCGCUCUCGGGUGCAGAGCUCUCCGCGGUCGCUGUGGCGGCCGCUCGGAGGGAGCUCUCCGGGAGCCCCAGGCGGGAGUGUGGCUGGCGGGGCUGAGCUGCUGGAGCUCGAAUGCAGGACAGACGGUCGAGACCAUGGAGUUGGGGAGCCGCAGAGCCAGACCUUCAGGGAGCUAAGGGAUCAGACUGCGGCGGCGGUGAGGAGUUUGGGGGUGGGAGCCUGGGGAGAUGGGGUUUGGGGUAGAUGUCACGAUCAUGAAUUGAGGGUGUCUGAGCCCGGAGAGUAGGAGAGACGGGAUCCUGAGGAGGGGGUGUCCUGUGCGCAUUCUUGGGGCGCCCUCCACAGGGCAGAGAGGAACGGAACCCCGGAGGGGAAUGCCUCGUAGAGGAAGAACGGGGCGGAAGGGGGUGCCCGAGGGAGGGGAGCCCCGGAAAGAGUGGGGUGAUCGAGGCAUGAGCUCCUCCUUGAGGAGGACGGAGCUGGGUUCUCCAAGGAGACGCUACAAGGAGUGUAGUUGUGCUGAAAACCGCGGGCUGCUGAUUUAGGGGCUAUGGUGAACCGAGGCACUGAAGAGCACGAAGAGGCAGAGGUGGCCAGCUGGGUAGUGCUAGGAAUAUCUAAGCCAUGAGAAUGCAGUCUUUUAAGUGAAGGUGGCCAUCCUUUUGACAGCAGAUUGAGACGCCCUGGACAGGACAAGUGGGGACCCAGCACUCAGCGAGUAUUGGGAACAUAGUGGCAGGAUUACCGGUUAGUUGCCAGGACCUGGUGGCAGCCAAGUAUCUCAACUUCCUGAGCAGUUGUAGGUACCCAGUGAUAAAAGAGACCCUUGGUUCCGGUGGGUGAGCACUUUGUCUUGCUUAAGUGGCACCACAUAUUUCUGACCUGGCUUAGAAAUGGCUUUGCGGGGGUGCUGAGAAGUGACUGGGCCAAAGGAACAGUCACAGAGUGAGAUUUCAAAUACAUAAGGGAUAUUAACCCUGUGUGCUUUGGGCAGAACUCAUAUAAUGUAGGUGUGUGUAGAGAAAUAAUCCCCAGGUACUAUUUGCUCUUGUGCAGUCACAGCCAGCUUCCGAGAAAAAAAAAAAAAUGUAGGGUGAGGAGGGUCGUCAAGCGCAAUGCAUUCUACAGGCAGACUUUAGUGUUCUAGUGUGGUGUGGUCAGGGUUUGUAUUAGUGCCGGUUCCCUUUUCUGUGGUUAAGAGAAAGUUACUCUUGUGGGAGGCACUAUGCACAAUUGCCCUGUUGAAGUUAUUCAUGGCCGGCUCCCAUGUCUUGCACUGUUCCAUCCCUGGCAUCUCAGAGGAUAGGUGUCUAAGGCACAUCUAAAGAUAUGACCUAGGCAUUGCCUGUUUUCUUUUGUUUAUCUUGGGUGUACAAGUCAUCUCAUUUAAAAUAAUGUUGAGCAUCUUGUCUACCUACCCUAUAUUGCUCAUUAUUUGUGGUGGGUAGUUUAUUUGGGCAUAACAACUGAUUCAUGGCGACUCUGUGAUUUCUUUGUCAUUGGAAGGUGUGUGGGAAAGAAUAUCUUUCCUUCUAGGCUGUGAGUAUAGGGCACACACUGAGAUGCUUGCUCCCUAAGAAAACCAAGGACUGUUUUCUUUCUUGCUUUAACUUUGUUUUUUUUUUUUUUUGGGGGGGGGAUUCAUGUAGCCCAGGUUGGCCUCAAACAUAGCCAUAGAAAAUUCUUCUAUCUCUGUUUCCCAAGAAUUCAGAUUACAAGUGUGUGGGUUACAAGAAAUAUUUUUUUUCAGUGUUGGAGAUCAAACACGGGGCCUAGCACAUGCUAAGCAAGUACUCUACCCCUAAACUGCAGCCCCAAUCUCCAAGAGCUAUUUUGGCAACUAACAUUUAAUGGGUCUGAGUUUUUGUUUGUUGUGUUUUGAGGCAGGGUCUUCUGUGUAUCCCUGGCUGGUCUGGAAUUCACUAUAGACCUGCCUGGCCUUGAAUUUACAGAAAUCCACCUGCCUCUGCCUUCCUAGCACUGGGAUUAAGGCAUGCACCUCUGAGUUUUUGUUUUGUUGGUGGUGAUGGAGUGCUUUUUAAUUUUAAUUUUAUGUUUGUUUCAAGUUUCCUUUUUCCUUUAAGAAAGGAAAAUAAAUCUUCAAUAGCUAUGCA